CUCCGUGCUUGCCUUGAAUUCAAGAUGAAGAUGAGUUAUAGCCAUUGGUUAACAAAAUACGCUAAAACUGAAAGCAUCGCUUCUUUCCCCAGCCCUUCUCUGGAGAUCUGCCUGUGCGGCCAUCGUCUCUCCAACUGAAAGUAUUGCUUCUUCUCCAACUGAAAGGAGUUUUAUCUUUUAUUGUUUAAUACGUAUAUAUUUUCAACCUCCGUGCUUGCGUUGAAUUCAAGAUGAAGAUGAGUUUUAUACGACUCCGGUGUUUGAUGCUAUUAUAUGUUAAUAGCCACCGGAAAAUUUAUUAGGGCAAGCCUAUUUAUACGGCUCCGUUUAACUUUUCCGCUCCAAAACCUCGGUAUUAUUUACUAUUUAGUCGGUUCUCAAAAUACGCUAAAACUGAAAGCAUGGCUUCUUUCCCCAACCCUUCUCUGGCCAGCUUCUCCCAAGUGAAGUUGCAAGACCAAUCCGCCAUGGAAUGCUAUGUGAGGGCUCGAUCUCGCACCAACGGAAGGAAUCGUGAGCCACCAUCGGAGGCAGGGGGUUUCAACCACAAGUUUCUUCAACUCUUUGUCUAGAGCAAGCCACUGCCAAGAAAGAUCAAACAAGCGUGUGAACAGGUUGAAUAUCGAUUGAAGCAUCUAGUUGAAUGACAUGGAAAAAAUGCUGUAAAAUCAAGAAGAUGCAAAACUUACCACCCAUCCAGAACACCAAUGUUUCAAAAGAUCCGAAAUUUGUGUCAAUAGCCCAGCCCAGGUUACCAUGACGGGGCUCACCACCACCUUGCUGCCAAGUCUAUGUUAGAGUUGCAACUUGUAACGUCUCAUACAAAUUAAGGAUUGUAGAGAUUGAUUUCAAUAAUACUUGUAUGCUAAUAAGGAGAGUGUAUUAUUAGGAUUUAUAGCUAAAGCAAUCCUGAUACGAUUUGUAAACCUAAUCAGAUAUGAAUACUAAAGGUUAGGUGAUAAAGUCUUGUUUGAAUAGAAUUACAUGAUGGGAAGUUCCCUACUCGGAUUCCACCUCUUUUACCAUAUAACAAGGUCCCUACUCUCUCACUUGAUAUAUAGAAAUAACCCUUCUAGC